UGACUUCACAAUAAGAAGUUAUAUAGUAUGAUGAGGACAUAUCCAGAGGAGAAUUAUCUCUCACAAUUCCAACAAGCAAACAGAAACUGAGAAGAAAACACUUUCAAUCACUCCCAACAAUUAUACACAGACCAGGAGGCUGAAUGAAGAUUUGAACUGUGUUUUGAAAGGUAACUGAAGUUUGUCUCAGAGGAUUAAGAUUUUCAUGGCUAAAUAUCUCACUGCCUUGUGACCAGCGGGCGGCCUCCCUCUUUGACAGACCCUCUGGGAACAAGCGCUGUCUCCCACAACUGAGGUUCAUUUUAGGACAUCAGCACCACCCACAGAAAGAAUGAGAAACUUUACUAGCAAAGAAAAAAAAACCCUCAUACUCAACUUGUGAGAUACAUGCCACAAUGCUUUGGAGGAAGAACAUUGUAUUGCAGGCAGGGUUCAAAAACUGUAUUGCACCGCCUAAUUGAUUUUGCUAGUGACACGUUUACCCAAGGGGAGGGCUAUUCAAAUUCCACAACAACUCUUCAGAUGCUCUGCGACAUGUAUAAAUACAAGAGAGAAACCUGGCACAAACUAAAUCUAACCAGUUUUCAGGAACAGAAUACUUCUUUAUUUGUUGUAAACCCCAACUAGCAAGUCAAAAUGAGCGACGCACCAGAACUCCCAAAAGCGGAACAAAUAAAGGAGGAGGAAAGUCAUGAAAAAAAGAAGGGAAAAGGAGAGCACGGACAUGGGCCUGGUGAGCACAAACACGGGAGUGGUGAACACAAACAUGAGCACGGGGUAGGGGGACACGAUCAUAGUGAACAUGGAAAGGGAAAAGGAUGCUGCAAAGACUAAUGAAGACAGCAGGAAUAAACCACCCCACUGCACCCCUACACUCAACAAUGCACUCUCUGUACCUGCCUCCUCUCAGUACUUCACAACUUUGGUCACCAAAACUGAAUGGAAAUGGCAUGUUUAAAAAGAAAAAUAAUAAAUAUUUAACUAUGGCUGGUGUAACGGUACAAUAAACUUCAUAAAUCCUUAUCUUAAAAAUAAAAAAAUCUGCUGUGGG